AGCGUGAUUUUCUCCCGUUUUGGACGACUGCUCGAUUCAUGCCGCCAUUUUUGACGCUCAUAAAGGCCUCCCAGUCAGCACCCUUCCAUACAAAGCAAGCAGGAGGCUCCUGAGCCAUCUCAGUGAUGUUGAGGAUGCUGAGGAAGAGUAGUCCCAAAUCAGUUUUUUUUGGAUGAAACCAGUGAGCAGGGUGACGCCGGUGAGAAGUCACACCAUCGAACUCCCUGACGCAGAGCUGUGCUUUACCAUUAGCCAGACCAGGCAACUGCCUGGGGCAAGGCCACUAGGGGGCUCUCUUAUUUAUCCAUUUUUACAUUUGGCACUUGUCCCUUGUAUUCUUGCACUCUCGUACGCUGCUGUGACAAGUAAAUUUCCCUGUUGUGGAAUAAAGUUCUAUCAAUCAA